GUUCUACAGGCUCUUGUCUCUGCUUAUCUGGAACUCUCUGCUCCUUGUGAACACCCACCAUCACCUUUGCCUGGAAAUUCCUAUUCACCCUUUGGAUCCACAGUUUAAGCGUCACUUCCUCCAAGAAGCCUCCUCUGGUUCUCCACCACUCCCACCCCUACAGAAACAGAGGAAAGGGAACCUCUGCCACUCCACUUCAGCCUGACACUCCUGAGAUGCCUCAAGGCACAACUAAACAAAUGUAACCAUGUCUUGAGAACCAGCUAUGCCCUGGUCACUAACCAGACCUUGAGGAUACAUAAGUGACUAUCUCACAGGCCAGUCUCCAGAUCUCUGGUAGAAGAGAGAGUCAUUCUAAUAAAUGAUUACAACAUUCCACAAUAAGUGCUGAGGUGGAUAAAGGGGCCACAAAGAAUCGCCCCUCAGCCAGCUUGUC
rnacentral:lncRNA from 1 species